rnacentral:rRNA from 1 species
AUUGAACGCUGGCGGCAUGCUUUACACAUGCAAGUCGAACGGUAACAGGGUGCUUGCACCGCUGACGAGUGGCGAACGGGUGAGUAAUGCGUCGGAACGUGCCGAGUAGUGGGGGAUAACGCAGCGAAAGUUGUGCUAAUACCGCAUACGUACUGAGGUAGAAAGUGGGGGACCUUCGGGCCUCACGCUAUUCGAGCGGCCGGCGUCUGAUUAGCCAGUAGGUGAGGUAAAGGCUCACCUAGGAGACGAUCAGUAGCGGGUCUGAGAGGAUGAUCCGGCACACGGGGACUGGGACACGGCCCAGACUCCUACGGGAGGCAGCAGUGGGGAAUUUUGGACAAUGGGCGAAAGCCUGAUCCAGCCAUGCCGCGUGUCUGAAGAAGGCCUUCGGGUUGUAAAGGACUUUUGUCAGGGAGGAAAUCCCUAGUGCUAAUAACACUGGGGGAUGACAGUACCUGAAGAAUAAGCACCGGCUAACUACGUGCCAGCCGCCGCUGUAA